rnacentral:rRNA from 1 species
ACCUGCGGAAGGAUCAUUAAGAUACUACUACCACUUUGUUUUCACACUAGGAGCACGCAAACAGAUAAUCAAACAAGUAAUCAAAACUUUCAACAACGGAUCUCUAGGUUCUCGCAUCGAUGAAGAACGCAGCGAAAUGCGAUACGUAAUAUGAAUUGCAAGUCUUGUGAAUCAUCGAAUCUUUGAACGCACAUUGCGCCCUGUGGCAUUCCACAGGGCAUGCCUGUUUGAGCGAGAUUUCUCUCUCCUUAGGGUCAUGGGAUAUACCCUGGCAAGGGUUUUCCUGAAAUGUCCAGAGCAUGAUGUACUAAACGCCAUCAACGCUCCCCCAACAUUUUCCUCAAAUCAGGUAGGACUACCCGCUGAACUUAAGCAUAUCAAUAA